CACGGGGGGAGCAAGCGUUGUUCGGAAUCACUGGGCGUAAAGGGCGCGUAGGCGGUCAGGUAAGUGGGACGUGAAAUGCCUCGGCUCACCCGAGGAGCGGCGUCCCAUACUGCGUGGCUUGAGUACGGGAGAGGAUGUGGGAAUUCCUGGUGUAGCGGUGAAAUGCGUAGAUAUCAGGAGGAACACCGGUGGCGAAGGCGCACAUCUGGCCCGAUACUGACGCUGAGGCGCGAAAGCUAGGGGAGCAAACGGG
rnacentral:rRNA from 1 species